rnacentral:rRNA from 1 species
GACGAACGCUGGCGGCGUGCUUAACACAUGCAAGUCGAACAGAAAGGCCCUGCUUUUGUGGGGUGCUCGAGUGGCGAACGGGUGAGUAACACGUGAGUAACCUGCCCUUGACUUUGGGAUAACUUCAGGAAACUGGGGCUAAUACCGGAUAGGAGCUCCUGCUGCAUGGUGGGGGUUGGAAAGUUUCGGCGGUUGGGGAUGGACUCGCGGCUUAUCAGCUUGUUGGUGGGGUAGUGGCUUACCAAGGCUUUGACGGGUAGCCGGCCGGAGAGGGUGACCGGCCACAUUGGGACUGAGAUACGGCCCAGACUCCUACGGGAGGCAGCAGUGGGGAAUAUUGCACAAUGGGCGGAAGCCUGAUGCAGCAACGCCGCGUGCGGGAUGACGGCCUUCGGGUUGUAAACCGCUUUCGCCUGUGACGAAGCGUGAGUGACGGUAAUGGGUAAAGAAGCACCGGCUAACUACGUG